AGUGAACGCUGGCGGUAGGCCUAACACAUGCAAGUCGAACGGCAGCACAGUAAGAGCUUGCUCUUACGGGUGGCGAGUGGCGGACGGGUGAGGAAUACAUCGGAAUCUACUUUUUCGUGGGGGAUAACGUAGGGAAACUUACGCUAAUACCGCAUACGACCUACGGGUGAAAGCAGGGGAUCUUCGGACCUUGCGCGAUUGAAUGAGCCGAUGUCGGAUUAGCUAGUUGGCGGGGUAAAGGCCCACCAAGGCGACGCUCCGUAGAUGGUCUGAGAGGAUGAUCAGCCACACUGGAACUGAGACACGGUCCAGACUCCUACGGGAGGCAGCAGUGGGGAAUAUUGGACAAUGGGCGCAAGCCUGAUCCAGCCAUACCGCGUGGGUGAAGAAGGCCUUCUGGUUGUAAAGCCCUUUUGUUGGGAAAGAAAAGCAGCAGGUUAAUACCCCGCUGUUCUGACGGUACCCAAAGAAUAAGCACCGGCUAACUUCGUG
rnacentral:rRNA from 1 species